GCGAUCAUACCAGCACUAAUACACCGGAUCCCAUCAAAACUCCGAAGUUAAGCGUGCUUGGGCGAGAGCAGUACUAGGAUGGGUGACCCCCUGGGAAGUCCUCGUGUUGCGCCC
rnacentral:rRNA from 1 species